UGUUUCGGCUAGGGGGCCAUCCCGGCUUACCAACCCGAUGCAAACUGCGAAUACCGGAGAAUGUUAUCACGGGAGACACACGGCGGGUGCUAACGUCCGUCGUGAAGAGGGAAACAACCCAGACCGCCAGCUAAGGUCCCAAAGUCAUGGUUAAGUGGGAAACGAUGUGGGAAGGCCCAGACAGCCAGGAUGUUGGCUUAGAAGCAGCCAUCAUUUAAAGAAAGCGUAAUAGCUCACUGGUCGAGUCGGCCUGCGCGGAAGAUGUAACGGGGCUAAACCAUGCACCGAAGCUGCGGCAGCGACGCUGAUGCGUUGUUGGGUAGGGGAGCGUUCUGUAAGCCUGUGAAGGUGGCCUGUGAGGGUUGCUGGAGGUAUCAGAAGUGCGAAUGCUGACAUAAGUAACGAUAAAGCGGGUGAAAAGCCCGCUCGCCGGAAGACCAAGGGUUCCUGUCCAACGUUAAUCGGGGCAGGGUGAGUCGACCCCUAAGGCGAGGCCGAAAGGCGUAGUCGAUGGGAAACGGGUUAAUAUUCCCGUACUUGGUGUUACUGCGAAGGGGGGACGGAGAAGGCUAUGUUGGCCGGGCGA
rnacentral:rRNA from 1 species